UACGUAGGUGGCAAGCGUUGUCCGGAUUUAUUGGGCGUAAAGGGAGCGCAGGUGGUUUCUUAAGUCUGAUGUGAAAGCCCACGGCUUAACCGUGGAGGGUCAUUGGAAACUGGGAAACUUGAGUACAGAAGAGGAAUGUGGAACUCCAUGUGUAGCGGUGGAAUGCGUAGAUAUAUGGAAGAACACCAGUGGCGAGGGCGGCUGUCUGGUCUGUAACUGACGCUGAGGCUCGAAAGCAUGGGUAGCAAACAGG
rnacentral:rRNA from 1 species